UACGGAGGAUGCAAGCGUUAUCCGGAUUUACUGGGUUUAAAGGGUGCGCAGGCGGAUAUGUAAGUCAGUGGUGAAAUCUCUAGGCUUAACCUGGAAAUUGCCGUUGAUACUAUAUAUCUUGAAUGCUGUGGAGGUAAGCGGAAUAUGUCAUGUAGCGGUGAAAUGCUUAGAUAUGACAUAGAACACCUAUUGCGAAGGCAGCUUACUACGCAGAUAUUGACGCUCAUGCACGAAAGCGUGGGGAUCAAACAGG
rnacentral:rRNA from 1 species